rnacentral:lncRNA from 1 species
GGCAGCUUCUCCAUCAAUUCCCCAACCUUGGUGUCGACGUGGCGAAUAUGGCGAUGGACCCAAGUUUUGCCGAGGAAGAAGAGGCGAUGAAAGAAGGAGAAGAUCCUGUUGCAGGAGUUGCUCCUGAUGUAUAAUUUAUUUUUUUUUUGGCCAUCGCUUUGGCGAGGCUCAAACAAAUGUAAUCAGUUCUUAGUUAUGAAUGAAAUCAUCCAUUGACGUAUUGUUUUGGCGAGGUUAUAUAGUUCUGUUUAUUUUUGUAAAGUAAAUUCAAUUCUCUCAUCCGUCUAGGGUGAACGGCUUGUGAGGCGAUACGUCCAGUGGCGAUCAAAUUACCAUUGUUAACGGAGUGGCGAAUCUCGAUUUUGGCGACAUUUGUUAUGGCAAUCAGGGCGCCUUAUCGUUAGGCAACGAAUGAGCGUAUCCUGAUUUUGGCGACAUAAAUAACGAUGAUCAAGAC